rnacentral:rRNA from 1 species
AACUCGCCUGCAUGAAGUCGGAAUUGCUAGUAAUCGCAGAUCAGCAUGCUGCGGUGAAUACGUUCCCGGGCCUUGUACACACCGCCCGUCACACCAUGGGAGUCGGUAACACCCGAAGUCGGUAGCCUAACCGUAAGGAGGGCGCCGCCGAAGGUGGGAUUGAUGACUGGGGUGAAGUCGUAACAAGGUAUC